GAAAUGCGAUAAGUAAUGUGAAUUGCAGAAUUCAGUGAAUCAUCGAAUCUUUGAACGCACAUUGCGCCCGCCAGUAUUCUGGCGGGCAUGCCUGUUCGAGCGUCAUUUCAACCAUCAAGCCCCCCGGCUUGUGUUGGGGACCUGCGGCUGCCACAGGCCCUGAAAAGCAGUGGCGGGCUCGCUGUCACACCGAGCGUAGUAGCAUACAUCUCGCUCUGGGCGUGCUGCGGGUUCCGGCCGUUAAACCACCUUCGUAACCCAAGGUUGACCUCGGAUCAGGUAGGAAGACCCGCUGAACUUAAGC
rnacentral:misc_RNA from 1 species